rnacentral:rRNA from 1 species
CCUACGGGAGGCAGCAGUGAGGAAUAUUGCACAAUGGAGGAAACCCUGAUGCAGCAAUGCCGCGUGCGUGAAGAAGUAUUUCGGUAUGUUAAGCUCUUUUAGUAGGGAAGUAGACAGACGGUACCUGACUAAGAUGACCCGGCCAACUACGUGCCAGCAGCCGCGGUCAUACGCAGGGGCCAAGCGUUAUCCGGAUUUACUGGGUGUAAAGGGAGCGUAGACGGGUGUGCAAGUCUGAGGUGAAAGCCCGUGGCUCAACCGCGGAACUGCUUUGGAAACUGUAUAGCUUGAGUACUGGUGAGGCAGGCGGAAUUCAUAGUGUAGCGGUGAAAUGCGUAGAUAUUAGGAGGAACACCAGUGGCGAAGGCAGCCUGCUGGGCAGAAACUGACGUUGAGGCUCGAAAGCGUGGGGAGCAAACAGGAUUAGAUACCCGUGUAGUC